rnacentral:rRNA from 1 species
CAGGCCUAACACAUGCAAGUCGAACGAGAAAGUGGAGCAAUCCAUGAGUAAAGUGGCGACCGGGUGAGUAACACGUGACUAACCUACCUUUGAGUGGGGGAUAACAUCGGGAAACCGAUGCUAAUACCGCAUAACAUCGCAGGAUCAAAGCAGCAAUGCGCUUAAAGAGGGGGUCGCGGCUGAUUAGCUAGUUGGCGGGGUAACGGCCCACCAAGGCGAAGAUCGGUAUCCGGCCUGAGAGGGCGCACGGACACACUGGAACUGAAACACGGUCCAGACUCCUACGGGAGGCAGCAGUGGGGAAUUUUGCGCAAUGGGGGAAACCCUGACGCAGCAACGCCGCGUGGAGGAUGAAGCCCCUUGGGGCGUAAACUCCUUUCGACCAAGACGAUAAUGACGGUACUGGUGGAAGAAGCACCGGCUAACUCUGUGCCAGCAGCCGCGGUAAUAC